UACAUGGGGUGCAAACGUUGCUCGGAAUUAUUGGGCGUAAAGCGCACGUAGGCGGUUCGUUAAGUCGGAUGUGAAAGCCCUCGGCUCAACUGAGGAAGUGCACCCGAAACUGGCGAGCUUGAGUACGAAAGAGGAUCGCGGAAUUCCCGGUGUAGCGGUGAAAUGCGCAGAUAUCGGGAGGAACACCGGUGGCGAAGGCGGUUCUCUGGGCCUGUACUGGACGCUGAGGAGCGAAAGCGUGGGGAGCGAACAGG
rnacentral:rRNA from 1 species